rnacentral:misc_RNA from 1 species
AAAAGUCGUAACAAGGUUUCCGUAGGUGAACCUGCGGAAGGAUCAUUAUUGAAUUGUUUGUUUGAAUUGGCUUAAAACCCCAAUUCAACAUCCAUAUCCAUAACACCUGUGCACUGUUGGAUGACCUAACUUGCAAGAGUCUGGAAGUCCACUUUUACACCAAACAAUUUGUAACAAAUGUAGUCUUAUUAUAACAUAAUAAAACUUUCAACAACGGAUCUCUUGGUUCUC